CCUACGGGAGGCAGCAGUGGGGAAUAUUGCGCAAUGGGCGAAAGCCUGACGCAGCGACGCCGCGUGAGGGAUGAAGGUCUUCGGAUCGUAAACCUCUGUCAGCAGGGAAGAACGGUCACUGUGCUAAUCAGCAGUGAAUUGACGGUACCUGCAAAGGAAGCAGCGGCUAACUCCGUGCCAGCAGCCGCGGGAAUACGGAGGGUGCGGGCGUUAAUCGGAAUUACUGGGCGUAAAGCGCUCGUAGGCGGUAUGUCAAGUCAAGGGUGAAAUGCACGCGCUCAACGUGGGCACUGCCUUUGAAACUGGCAAGCUGGAGUGCGUGAGAGGAAAGGGGAAUUCCAGGUGUAGGAGUGAAAUGCGUAGAUAUCUGGAGGAACAUCAGUGGCGAAGGCGAUUAACUGGCACAUAACUGACGCUGAGGAGCGAAAGCGUGGGUAGCAAACAGGAUUAGAUACCCGUGUAGUC
rnacentral:rRNA from 1 species